rnacentral:sRNA from 1 species
GGUGAUGAUAUUCAGUGGGUAUAAAGUUUCAGUUAUGCAAAAUGAGGAAGCCAAAAGAUGGGACAACCCUGCCCUAGGCCUUCACAUUCACUCUCCACUAACUCACUGACUCACCCAGAGCAAUGUCCAGCCCUGCAAACUCCAUUCAUGGCUGGUUUUGAACUGCUCGCCUCAAGUGAUCCUCCUGCCAGGGCCUCUCAAAGUGUUGGGAUUACAGGUGUGAACCACUGUGCCCAGUCUCCUUUUUAACAGAAGGAAAAGCCAAAACUCAGAGAGGUUAUAUAACUUAUUAAGGUCAUGUAACACUACUCGGAUAAAUGGGAGAACGAGUCUGGGGAAGUGGCUUCAGAGGAAUGAACAUGAGACACAGAAUGUGAAUUAUAGUGUCACUCUCUGAAAGAGAACGAAGUAAUUUUCUGAAGGGAAGCUGCAGAAUAUGGAAAAC